UACGUAGGGUGCGAGCGUUGUCCGGAAUUAUUGGGCGUAAAGAGCGUGUAGGCUGUUCGGUAAGUCUGCCGUGAAAACCUGAGGCUCAACCUCGGGCGUGCGGUGGAUACUGCCGGGCUAGAGGACGGUAGAGGCGAGUGGAAUUCCCGGUGUAGCGGUGAAAUGCGCAGAUAUCAGGAGGAACACCGGUGGCGAAGGCGGAUCUCUGGGCCGAUACUGACGCUGAGGAGCGAAAGCGUGGGGAGCGAACAGG
rnacentral:rRNA from 1 species